UACGAAGGGGGCUAGCGUUGUUCGGAUUUACUGGGCGUAAAGCGCACGUAGGCGGAUCGUUAAGUCGGGGGUGAAAUCCUGGAGCUCAACUCCAGAACUGCCUUCGAUACUGGCGAUCUUGAGUCCGGAAGAGGUGAGUGGAACUCCUAGUGUAGAGGUGGAAUUCGUAGAUAUUGGGAAGAACACCGGUGGCGAAGGCGGCAACCUGGUCCUUGACUGACGCUGAGGCGCGAAAGCGUGGGGAGCAAACAGG
rnacentral:rRNA from 1 species